GACGAACGCUGGCGGCGUGCUUAACACAUGCAAGUCGAACGGAAAGGCCCUGCUUUUGUGGGGUGCUCGGGUGGCGAACGGGUGAAUAACACGUGAGUAACCUGCCCUUGACUUUGGGAUAACUUCAGGAAACUGGGGCUAAUACCGGAUAGGAGCUCCUGCUGCAUGGUGGGGGUUGGAAAGUUUCGGCGGUUGGGGAUGGACUCGCGGCUUAUCAGCUUGUUGGUGGGGUAGUGGCUUACCAAGGCUUUGACGGGUAGCCGGCCUGAGAGGGUGACCGGCCACAUUGGGACUGAGAUACGGCCCAGACUCCUACGGGAGGCAGCAGUGGGGAAUAUUGCACAAUGGGCGGAAGCCUGAUGCAGCAACGCCGCGUGCGGGAUGACGGCCUUCGGGUUGUAAACCGCUUUCGCCUGUGACGAAGCGUGAGUGACGGUAAUGGGUAAAGAAGCACCGGCUAACUACGUG
rnacentral:rRNA from 1 species